UACGUAGGGUGCGAGCGUUAAUCGGAAUUACUGGGCGUAAAGCGUGCGCAGGCGGUUCGUUAAGACAGAUGUGAAAUCCCCGGGCUUAACCUGGGAACUGCAUUUGUGACUGGCGAGCUAGAGUAUGGCAGAGGGGGGUAGAAUUCCACGUGUAGCAGUGAAAUGCGUAGAGAUGUGGAGGAAUACCGAUGGCGAAGGCAGCCCCCUGGGAUAACACUGACGCUCAUGCACGAAAGCGUGGGGAGCAAACAGG
rnacentral:rRNA from 1 species